rnacentral:rRNA from 1 species
CCUACGGGUGGCAGCAGUGAGGAAUAUUGGUCAAUGGACGAGAGUCUGAACCAGCCAAGUAGCGUGAAGGAUGACUGCCCUAUGGGUUGUAAACUUCUUUUAUAUGGGAAUAAAACAGGGUAUGCAUACCCUCUUGUAUGUACCAUAUGAGUAAGGAUCGGCUAACUCCGUGCCAGCAGCCGCGGUAAUACGGAGGAUCCGAGCGUUAUCCGGAUUUAUUGGGUUUAAAGGGAGCGUAGGGGGAUUGUUAAGUCAGAUGUGAAAGUUUGGGGCUCAACCGUAAAAUUGCAGUUGAAACUGGCAGGCUUGAGUACAGUAGAGGUGGGUAGAAUUCGUGGUGUAGCGGUGAAAUGCUUAGAGAUCACGAAGAAUACCGAUUGCGAAGGCAGCUCACUGGACUGCAACUGACACUGAUGUGCGAAAGCGUGGGGAGCAAACAGGAUUAGAUACCCUGGUAGUC